AACGAGCAGAACCGGUGUCAAACAUGGAACUUUAAGAAUCACUAAACACCCCAUACUUGGCCAUUUUGUAUUGGCCAUUCAAAAGGGGAAAAAAAAUUCUCAUCUCUCUCUCUCUCUUCGGUUCUUCUUUCUCUCUUCUUCUUUCUCUUUUGGCCAAGAACACGUAAAAGAGUUGAAGCUGUUCGUCGUGCUACUGAUGGAAGCGCUUUUGAGAAAUGUGAAGAAAGUGGAGUUAUGAUCCGAAGGGAAGUGAAGAGAUUCAAGUGUGUUUCGAGUGGAAAAUAUCGAUGAUGAUAUAUCGAAACCAAGCUUUGAAGAUGAACCUAGAUCACCUUUUGUCUUCUUCUAGUACGGUACCCAAAACCUUCCUGUGUUACUUCUCUGAGUAGUAUCUUCCUUUAUUUAGAGAGGAUUUUGAAAAGCUACGAUGGGAACAUGGUUGAUGCUAGCAGAAUAUGUUUCAUUGUGUGGAAGAACAUGUCAGAAGAGGUGUGUCUCUUCCAGCGCUCAAGAGUCUCUUCAUCAACACCAUCUUUUUCACUUAUGGAGAUCUGUGUAAUGUGCUUCUUCCUGGUUGCCCAGUACUCGAGGAGCUGUCUGUACGUCACGUGAAUUGUGAAAGAAUCCCAUUCUGCAUAUCCAAUAGGAGCAUCAAGAAACUACCAGUUUACUACAACUUUGAGACUGUGAUUACAGAUAUGCCCGGCAUGUCAUCUGAUUCUUACUCCUGCUUCUGCUGAUGUGAUUUCUCGAUUUGUUAAACGUGGACUAUCUCUACCGGUGUUCAAGAAUCUGGUUGCCUUACCUUAUUUUCCUUCCUUCAUGUUUCAGGCCCUAUUGAAGAAGACGCUGGCUUGAGAGAUUUAAUCAGCUGGCUUCCUGAAGAGGUUCUAGGCAGCAUCUUGUCCUUACUUCCGACGAAACAAGCCGCAUCAACAUCUGUACUUGCUAAAAAGUGGAGGCAUGUGUGAUGAUGGUAAUAUAUUGCAAACUCAUGGCGCUCGUUGGAGCUGCAGCAUCCAAGUGCUAGACUGAUUUCGUUUCUUACUUCUAGCUAGACUUUCAUCAUAAACUUUUGUUUUUGUUAAACGUAUCUAAUUCAUAGGCAAGAUCAUGAUGUGAAUCACUCAGUGUGCUAGUUUGCACCACUUACAAAUCAUGGCAAAACUACUUUACUACAGUUAAUUAUGUUCAAAUACAUUAUCUAGUUGAAAACCAUUUCUCUUUAUGCAAUAUUGGUUAUCAAGAGAGUCGGAUCUAUUGGUUAUCACGGUUGAAAACCAUUUCUCUUUAUAAGCUUUGCAAUAUGAGUUGAUGCUAUGAAAACCAUUUCUCUUUCGAGUGAAGCAUUUUUUUUUCUUUACAUGCUUUAUAAGAUUAUUUUGUUAACCAUUUCUCUUACCAUUUCACAAGUGAUGAGUUACCAUUUCUCUUACCAUUUCGAGUGAAGCACAAGUGAUAGUUACCAUUUCACCUAAAAUAUUUUGUUUCAAAUCAAGAUUUCAACUAAUUUGUUUUUUCUUUGUAUUUUUACUUUUAUGUCAUUUUUAUUUAAAUUUUUAUGUAUGUUUUUCUUUCAUGUUAUAAAAUCCAAUCAUUCAACUUCUAAAAAAAAUUAAAAAUUUUAAGAACCUCGAAGAGGUUCUCCCAUUGGACCAUGAAAAUUUUAAUUAUAUUAACAAGGGUUCUAAACUUUUCAAAUCACAAAAUUAAUUACUAAACUAUUCAUUAGAACCCUUAAUGGACUCUUACCAAUGGAAUUGCUCUAUACAUUGCAAUAGUUUCUAAGAAAGACGUUGCACCUUUGCAGAGUGUCCAAACUCUGAAUUUGCUACUAUCAAAGUUGAUGCUGUCCAGUUUCAAAAAAAUAAAAGUUGAUGCUGUCGUUUGUUUUUUUUUUUACACAUAUUUAAGUUCUGUAUCUCUUUUCUUUACUCUGUUCUAUGUUGUAUAAACUACCCAGUUGAAAAGAAAAUUUUGUAACGUGCACACGUCAUGGUAAGGGUAAUGCUCUCGGACAAAUUAUGCAUGGAAGCCGCAUGCAAGAAUCGCGCUAAUUAUAAUUAUAAUAACAACAAUAUAUCUCUACAAAUAAAAAUGAUUUUUAAUAGAAAAUUACUAUUGAUUUUCUCGGGAAAAAAAAUUAAAAGAAAACCAAACAGAAGACAUGAUCUGUUGAAGAUUUUUAUAAGAAAUGAAUGGUGAACUUUAGCAUACAAUACAAAAAAACAUUACUCACAAAUGAAACUCUACUUCCAUAUAUACAAUUAAAUUAGAAACAAAAGGUAGUUAUGUCUAUUAUACUAUGUAUAUUUCCUAGAAAUUGUGUACAUAAGAAUAUUUGCAAAUUCUUAGCAAAAAAAGAAGCAUAUUUGCAAAUUGUUCAUAUCAUCACAAUAUUCAGUAAAAAUAAAAGGUAUAUAUUCAUAUACCAAAAACGAACAUUUUGUGACAAAGACCUUUAGAGCAGCGUUAUCGGGGGUUCUUAACAGGGUUUUUCGUUUAAUUAAAAAAAAAAAAAAAAAAAAUAGCAAAUAACACAAGCGACGUCACUUAAUUAGGCAACAGAAGAGACGGUUCUUCAGCCACGCGUCACGGUGAAAUCGUUUUGGGAGGAGACUUCGAUGGGAGAAAAAAUCAGUCCCGAAUCAUCUUCUACUACGUUUGUCUGAGCCUUUCGGUGUCAUGGUGAAAUCGUCGCCGUUUGUCUGAGCCUUUCACGUUCGUCAAAACUCCAAACCUAGAAGGAGAGCCGCUCUCUCGCUCUCGCCGUUAAAAUCGGGAGAGAUGGGAAGAAGCAUGAGUGAAAAGGAAGGUGCAGCUUUGCUUGUGCCCAUAAGAAAUCGCGGAGCAUGAGUGAACUGAAGACUUUAUGCAUGAUCUGUUUUUUUACAGGGUUUAAUAUGGAAACAGUUGAAUACAAGCAGGCUUGUAUAUCUGCAGGAUGAGCUUCGUGAUGCGGUACUUCUUGUUUUUGCUAACAAGCAGGAUCUUCCAAAUGCAAUGAAUGCUGCUGAGAUAACCAAUAAGCUUGGACUCCACUCUCUCCGGCAGCGUCAUUGGUACAUCCAGAGCACGUGUGCCACCACCGGUGAGGGACUGUUCUUCAGGAGUCUCGGCGCACGCUUAGAUAGAAAGAAAGAAAGAAGUGCCGUGAGCUUGAUGAAAACGUUUCAGACCAAGAGCUACUGAAAAUUUGUAAGACGUGAAGAGGUGAUAGUAUGCUCUUGGACAAAUUCUGCAUGGAAACGGCAUGAUCGCGCUUUCUUCCUCAGUCAUCAUGUCAACGUCUAAAAAAUGGAACGAUGCCAUGAUCGGUCGUUACUACUCUGUCUUAGGAAGGGUUCCAGACAAGGAUAACAUCAAAGAGAUAGCCAAGUGUCUGAAGGCGCGAUCUGAAAUCCUCAACAAUAUCGGCAAGAAGAAGAAGAAGAAAGUGAGUAAAUGAUUUGCUUCUAUCUGAAUAUCUGUUGGUUUGUAAAUAGGCGUGAUGAUUUGCUUCUAUCUGAUACUUUUGUAAAUAGGUGUGAUGAUCUGCUUCUAUCUGAUGCUUUUGUAAAUAGGUGUGAUGAUUUGCUUCUAUCUGAUCUGAUGGUUUGUAAAUAGGCUUGAUGAUUUCUGAUGCUUUUGUAAAUAGGCGUGAUGAUUUGCUUCUAUCUGAUCUGAUGGUUUGUAAAUAGGCGUGAUGAUUUGCUUCUAUUUGAUGGUUUGUAAAUA